rnacentral:rRNA from 1 species
ACUCAAAUGAAUUGACGGGGGCCCGCACAAGCGGUGGAGCAUGUGGUUUAAUUCGACGCAACGCGAAGAACCUUACCUAGGCUUGACAUACACGGGAAACCCUCGAGAAACCGAGGGCCCUCUUCGGAGUCCGUGUACAGGUGCUGCAUGGCUGUCGUCAGCUCGUGUCGUGAGAUGUUGGGUUAAGUCCCGCAACGAGCGCAACCCCCGUUUCUAGUUGCCAGCGAGUAAAGUCGGGGACUCUAGAAAGACUGCCGGUGCCAAACCGGAGGAAGGUGGGGAUGACGUCAAGUCAUCAUGGUCCUUACGUCUAGGGCUACACACGUGCUACAAUGAUCGGUACAGAGGGUCGCAAGCUCGCGAGAGCAAGCCAAUCCCAGAAAGCCGAUCUCAGUGCGGAUUGGAGGCUGCAACUCGCCUCCAUGAAGCUGGAAUCGCUAGUAAUCGUGGAUCAGCUACGCCACGGUGAAUACGUUCCCGGGCCUUGUACACACCGCCCGU